AACGAACGCUGGCGGCAUGCCUAACACAUGCAAGUCGAACGAGACCUUCGGGUCUAGUGGCGCACGGGUGCGUAACGCGUGGGAACCUGCCCUUAGGUUCGGAAUAACUCCCCGAAAGGGGUGCUAAUACCGGAUAAUGUCUUCGAACCAAAGAUUUGUCGCCUUUGGAUGGUCCUGCGUUGGAUUAGCUAGUUGGUAGGGUAAAAGCCUACCAAGGCGACGAUCCAUAGCUGGUCUGAGAGGAUGAUCAGCCACACUGGGACUGAGACACGGCCCAGACUCCUACGGGAGGCAGCAGUGGCGAAUAUUGGACAAUGGGCGAAAGCCUGAUCCAGCAAUGACGCGUGAGUGAUGAAGGCCUUAGGGUUGUAAAGCUCUUUUACCCGGGAUGAUAAUGACAGUACCGGGAGAAUAAGCUCCGGCUAACUCCGUG
rnacentral:rRNA from 1 species